GGCUUCGGCCCCGGUACAGUGGCGCACGGGUGAGUAACACGUAGAUCAUCUCCCCUCGAGUGGUGGAUAACUUUCCGAAAGGAAAGCUAAUACAGCAUAAGACCACGGCUUCGUUGAAGCUGCGGCCAAAGCAGGCCUCUACACGUAAGCUUGCGCUUGAGGAUGAGUCUGCGGCCCAUCAGCUAGUUGGUAGGGUAAUGGCCUACCAAGGCUAAGACGGGUAGCUGGUCUGAGAGGAUGAACAGCCACACUGGAACUGAGACACGGUCCAGACUCCUACGGGAGGCAGCAGUGGGGAAUCUUGCGCAAUGGGCGAAAGCCUGACGCAGCGACGCCGCGUGAGCGAUGAAGGCCUUCGGGUUGUAAAGCUCUGUGGGGAGGAAAGAAUAAGGCUUGGCUAACAUCCAAGCUGAUGACGGUACCUCCUUAGCAAGCACCGGCUAACUCUGUGCCAGCAGCCGCGGUAAGACAGAGGGUGCCAACGUUGUUCGGAAUUACUGGGCGUAAAGCGCGUGUAGGCGGCCCUGCAAGUCGGGUGUGAAAUCCCACGGCUCAACCGUGGAAGUGCACUCGAAACUGCAGGGCUAGAGUCCUGGAGAGGAAAGUGGAAUGCUUGGUGUAGCGGUGAAAUUCGUAGAUAUCAAGCGGAACACCGGUGGCGAAGGCGGCCUUCUGGACAAUGACUGACGCUGAGACGCGAAAGCGUGGGGAGCAAACAGGAUUAGAUACCCUGGUAGUCCACGC
rnacentral:rRNA from 1 species